rnacentral:tRNA from 1 species
AUUUAAGUAAUUUAAAUAGAAUGUUGAUUUGUGGAAUCAAAAGUGUAAGUAUUACCUUAAAUA